rnacentral:rRNA from 1 species
UACAGAGGUCUCAAGCGUUGUUCGGAUUCAUUGGGCGUAAAGGGUGCGUAGGCGGCGCGGUAAGUCGGGUGUGAAAUCUCGGAGCUUAACUCCGAAACUGCAUUCGAUACUGCCGUGCUUGAGGACUGGAGAGGAGACUGGAAUUUACGGUGUAGCGGUGAAAUGCGUAGAUAUCGUAAGGAAGACCAGUGGCGAAGGCGGGUCUCUGGACCAACACUGACGCUGAGGAGCGAAAGCGUGGGGAGCGAACAGG